ensembl:lncRNA
AGGAGCUGUGCGGUUUAACUUUCAAGUGAGUGUGAAGAAUCGAACGUACAGCUGAGGGCUGGUGAGACAAAGUGCAGACAACUAACUGCUGGAGAGCUCAAAGCAUUUGGCUGCUUCUUCCAGAGGGAUGCGUGCAUGAUCGCACCUGCGCGUGAGCGUCUGUGCAGAUUUAACAGCGGGUGAUGAAGAGGGAGCUACUUAAAGAGCAAGCCCCGAAGUGCCCGUAGGAGACCUGAUCAUCAAGGCCGCCAGUGUGGCAGAGGGACCCUGGAGAAAGAACGGCACUGCACACCGCUCCCACUUUGCAAACUUCUCCAGGUGGUGAAAGAGUCCAGACCCGGGCAGGAAGGAGUCUUCUCUCUCCAGAAGUUAAGCUGUACUUCUAAGAUGCAUUUCAAAGAUGAAGAAGCAUCUUUUGUGCUCUCUGACAGCCAAGGAUCCUUAAGAUUGAAAGUGAAGGAGUCAAGAGGGCAGACCCAUCUCAGAGAUCAAGUGAAAUAGACAAGUGAAGAAAUAUGGAGCCAGAACAGGGCUCCGGGUAUGGCUUGCUUUCCCACAGAUGAUGAUCGGGAGUUGAACACCCCCACACCCUCAGGUCAGUGCCAGCUUGUGGAAAGCUGGGCAGCGAGAGAAGCCUUCCAGCCUCUACCUUGGAUCCAUGCUUGGAAUCUGGAAGAAUCCUACUGGACACCUGGGAUGAUCUUUCAUGAAUCUCUCUCAUAAUUUUUGUCUUAUUUUCUUUAAUAUUUUAUACAUACAGAAAUAUGUGUAACAUAUGUGUUAGUUAUAAGCAUAAUUAAAAAAUGGAAAUCUGUAAGUCUACCAGCCCAUCCGAGGAUGAACGUGUCUCCAGGAACACUGCAUGAGCUUAGCGGUUUGCUCCACUUCUCCCGGAAGUAACCAAGAUCCUGGGUUUUGUGCUCCUCAUGAAUCCCCUUGCUAAGAUAAAACCAAAGCAAAACAAAACAAAAAUAUUAUAGUCUGUAUUUAGAUAUUUUGCUUUAAAAUUUGCCUCGUGGUUCUUGUCUUCCCUUUUAAGAGCUUUGUCAAAAUGGGAGUAUGUGUACAGCUUUUCAG